rnacentral:rRNA from 1 species
GACUCUCGGCAACGGAUAUCUUGGCUCUCGCAUCGAUGAAGAACGUAGCAAAAUGCGAUACUUGGUGUGAAUUGCAGAAUCCCGUGAACCAUCGAGUCUUUGAACGCAAGUUGCGCCCGAGGCUUCGGUCGAGGGCACGCCUGCCUGAGCGUCAUGCAU